ACUGCUCCUGCAUGGAAGGGCGCAGUCAGAGGGGAGAGAAGGUGUCACGUGAUAAUACAGACAGUUUGUGAAGAUCAAACAAGAAGACGAAAAUCAUGAAUCAGAAAUCAGCCAGCAGUAAGAGGAAGAAUUGCUGACGCAUGAAGGUAAAGCUCGCGUGAAGAAGGAAGACGAGACGGUGAGAGGGACACAUGGAGCCAUUUCAGUCUCUGCAAGUGACGCCGAAAUGACAUUCUGCCUCAUUA